rnacentral:rRNA from 1 species
AUUGAACGCUGGCGGCAGGCCUAACACAUGCAAGUCGAACGAGUGGAGGAGGGGUGAGAAAUGGUUGGGAAACCGCCAGAAGGAGGGGGAUAACGACGGGAAACGGUAGGGAAUACCGAAUACCAUAGGAUGUGCCCAGAUGGGAGUAGCUUGUUUGUGGGGUAAGGGCUCACCAAGGCGACGAACCCUAGCUGGUCUGAGAGGAUGACCAGCCACACUGGAACUGAGCCACGGUCCAGACUCCUACGGGAGGCAGCAGUGGGGAAUAUUGCGCAAUGGGCGCAAGCCUGAUGCAGCCCUGCCGCGUGUAUGAAGAAGGCCUGCGGGUUGUAAAGUGCUUUCAGCAGGGAGGCGUUACCCGCAGAGGAAGCACCGGCUAACUCCGUGCCAGCAGCCGCGGUAAUUC